UACAGAGGGGGCAAGCGUUGUUCGGAAUUACUGGGCGUAAAGGGCGCGUAGGCGGCCUUCUAAGUCGAACGUGAAAUCCCCGGGCUCAACCCGGGAACUGCGUCCGAUACUGGAAGGCUUGAAUCCGGGAGAGGGAUGUGGAAUUCCAGGUGUAGCGGUGAAAUGCGCAGAUAUCAGGAGGAACACCGAUUGCGAAGGCAGCUCGCUGGGACGUAACUGACGCUGAGACGCGAAAGCGUGGGGAGCAAACAGG
rnacentral:rRNA from 1 species